CUGCGGGGCGCGCCGCAGGAAGCCGGCCCGCGCACACGUGACCGCCCGCCUCCGCCUCCCCCGGGAAGGAGCCCACAGCCCCGCUCAGCAGAUGUGGACAAGCCCUCCUUGGUUGCUGCAGCUGCCCCAGCUCUCAGCCACCAGGUCUGUUUUAACGUGGAAGUGGAUCUCACAGCUUAAUGUAAAUCAAACAAAGGAAAAAAGGAUGUCAAGAGUGGUCUUCCUUGAUUUCGAUGAAGGACCAUUGCAGGGAGCCAUGGAUAUUAGUUUAUAAAUAUAC
ensembl:lncRNA